rnacentral:rRNA from 1 species
AGUGAACGCUGGCGGUAGGCCUAACACAUGCAAGUCGAACGGCAGCACAGUAAGAGCUUGCUCUUACGGGUGGCGAGUGGCGGACGGGUGAGGAAUACAUCGGAAUCUACUUUUUCGUGGGGGAUAACGUAGGGAAACUUACGCUAAUACCGCAUACGACCUACGGGUGAAAGCAGGGGAUCUUCGGACCUUGUGCGAUUGAAUGAGCCGAUGUCGGAUUAGCUAGUUGGGGGGGUAAAGGCCCAGCAAGGCGACGAUCCGUAGCUGGUCUGAGAGGAUGAUCAGCCACACUGGAACUGAGACACGGUCCAGACUCCUACGGGAGGCAGCAGUGGGGAAUAUUGGACAAUGGGCGCAAGCCUGAUCCAGCCAUACCGCGUGGGUGAAGAAGGCCUUCGGGUUGUAAAGCCCUUUUGUUGGGAAAGAAAAGCAGCAGGUUAAUACCCCGCUGUUCUGACGGUACCCAAAGAAUAAGCACCGGCUAACUUCGUG